GCCACCCGCCGUGCGCGGACGUAACCUCAUAACGCUCGAUAUGACGAGAUACGACGAAUACGAAUAAACGCGAAGUGCAGUGAAGAUAGUGACUUGUUUGUUUGGUAGUUGAUAAGGAUGAUAGUGUACGGAUAGUGGUGUAAAGUGACUUAAGUACUGAAACAUAAGUUUUUUUCUGAAAACUUUCAAGAGCGAGCUGUCUGUCAGCGAUAGGUCGGCGUCUAUACCGCUGAACACCUCAAUU